GGGUUGUGAGGUUAAGCGACUAAGCGUACACGGUGGAUGCCCUGGCAGUCAGAGGCGAUGAAGGACGUGCUAAUCUGCGAUAAGCGUCGGUAAGGUGAUAUGAACCGUUAUAACCGGCGAUUUCCGAAUGGGGAAACCCAGUGUGAUUCGUCACACUAUCAUUAACUGAAUCCAUAGGUUAAUGAGGCGAACCGGGGGAACUGAAACAUCUAAGUACCCCGAGGAAAAGAAAUCAACCGAGAUUCCCCCAGUAGCGGCGAGCGAACGGGGAGCAGCCCAGAGCCUGAAUCAGUGUGUGUGUUAGUGGAAGCGUCUGGAAAGGCGCGCGAUACAGGGUGACAGCCCCGUACACAAAAAUGCACAUGCUGUGAGCUCGAUGAGUAGGGCGGGACACGUGGUAUCCUGUCUGAAUAUGGGGGGACCAUCCUCCAAGGCUAAAUACUCCUGACUGACCGAUAGUGAACCAGUACCGUGAGGGAAAGGCGAAAAGAACCCCGGCGAGGGGAGUGAAAAAGAACCUGAAACCGUGUACGUACAAGCAGUGGGAGCACGCUUAGGCGUGUGACUGCGUACCUUUUGUAUAAUGGGUCAGCGACUUAUAUUCUGUAGCAAGGUUAACCGAAUAGGGGAGCCGAAGGGAAACCGAGUCUUAACUGGGCGUUAAGUUGCAGGGUAUAGACCCGAAACCCGGUGAUCUAGCCAUGGGCAGGUUGAAGGUUGGGUAACACUAACUGGAGGACCGAACCGACUAAUGUUGAAAAAUUAGCGGAUGACUUGUGGCUGGGGGUGAAAGGCCAAUCAAACCGGGAGAUAGCUGGUUCUCCCCGAAAGCUAUUUAGGUAGCGCCUCGUGAAUUCAUCUCCGGGGGUAGAGCACUGUUUCGGCAAGGGGGUCAUCCCGACUUACCAACCCGAUGCAAACUGCGAAUACCGGAGAAUGUUAUCACGGGAGACACACGGCGGGUGCUAACGUCCGUCGUGAAGAGGGAAACAACCCAGACCGCCAGCUAAGGUCCCAAAGUCAUGGUUAAGUGGGAAACGAUGUGGGAAGGCCCAGACAGCCAGGAUGUUGGCUUAGAAGCAGCCAUCAUUUAAAGAAAGCGUAAUAGCUCACUGGUCGAGUCGGCCUGCGCGGAAGAUGUAACGGGGCUAAACCAUGCACCGAAGCUGCGGCAGCGACGCUUAUGCGUUGUUGGGUAGGGGAGCGUUCUGUAAGCCUGCGAAGGUGUGCUGUGAGGCAUGCUGGAGGUAUCAGAAGUGCGAAUGCUGACAUAAGUAACGAUAAAGCGGGUGAAAAGCCCGCUCGCCGGAAGACCAAGGGUUCCUGUCCAACGUUAAUCGGGGCAGGGUGAGUCGACCCCUAAGGCGAGGCCGAAAGGCGUAGUCGAUGGGAAACAGGUUAAUAUUCCUGUACUUGGUGUUACUGCGAAGGGGGGACGGAGAAGGCUAUGUUGGCCGGGCGACGGUUGUCCCGGUUUAAGCGUGUAGGCUGGUUUUCCAGGCAAAUCCGGAAAAUCAAGGCUGAGGCGUGAUGACGAGGCACUACGGUGCUGAAGCAACAAAUGCCCUGCUUCCAGGAAAAGCCUCUAAGCAUCAGGUAACAUCAAAUCGUACCCCAAACCGACACAGGUGGUCAGGUAGAGAAUACCAAGGCGCUUGAGAGAACUCGGGUGAAGGAACUAGGCAAAAUGGUGCCGUAACUUCGGGAGAAGGCACGCUGAUAUGUAGGUGAAGUCCCUCGCGGAUGGAGCUGAAAUCAGUCGAAGAUACCAGCUGGCUGCAACUGUUUAUUAAAAACACAGCACUGUGCAAACACGAAAGUGGACGUAUACGGUGUGACGCCUGCCCGGUGCCGGAAGGUUAAUUGAUGGGGUCAGCGCAAGCGAAGCUCUUGAUCGAAGCCCCGGUAAACGGCGGCCGUAACUAUAACGGUCCUAAGGUAGCGAAAUUCCUUGUCGGGUAAGUUCCGACCUGCACGAAUGGCGUAAUGAUGGCCAGGCUGUCUCCACCCGAGACUCAGUGAAAUUGAACUCGCUGUGAAGAUGCAGUGUACCCGCGGCAAGACGGAAAGACCCCGUGAACCUUUACUAUAGCUUGACACUGAACAUUGAGCCUUGAUGUGUAGGAUAGGUGGGAGGCUUUGAAGUGUGGACGCCAGUCUGCAUGGAGCCGACCUUGAAAUACCACCCUUUAAUGUUUGAUGUUCUAACGUUGACCCGUGAUCCGGGUUGCGGACAGUGUCUGGUGGGUAGUUUGACUGGGGCGGUCUCCUCCUAAAGAGUAACGGAGGAGCACGAAGGUUGGCUAAUCCUGGUCGGACAUCAGGAGGUUAGUGCAAUGGCAUAAGCCAGCUUGACUGCGAGCGUGACGGCGCGAGCAGGUGCGAAAGCAGGUCAUAGUGAUCCGGUGGUUCUGAAUGGAAGGGCCAUCGCUCAACGGAUAAAAGGUACUCCGGGGAUAACAGGCUGAUACCGCCCAAGAGUUCAUAUCGACGGCGGUGUUUGGCACCUCGAUGUCGGCUCAUCACAUCCUGGGGCUGAAGUAGGUCCCAAGGGUAUGGCUGUUCGCCAUUUAAAGUGGUACGCGAGCUGGGUUUAGAACGUCGUGAGACAGUUCGGUCCCUAUCUGCCGUGGGCGCUGGAGAACUGAGGGGGGCUGCUCCUAGUACGAGAGGACCGGAGUGGACGCAUCACUGGUGUUCGGGUUGUCAUGCCAAUGGCACUGCCCGGUAGCUAAAUGCGGAAGAGAUAAGUGCUGAAAGCAUCUAAGCACGAAACUUGCCCCGAGAUGAGUUCUCCCUGACUCCUUGAGAGUCCUGAAGGAACGUUGAAGACGACGACGUUGAUAGGCCGGGUGUGUAAGCGCAGCGAUGCGUUGAGCUAACCGGUACUAAUGAACCGUGAGGCUUAACCUUACAACGCCGAAG
rnacentral:rRNA from 1 species